rnacentral:rRNA from 1 species
CCUACGGGAGGCAGCAGUGGGGAAUAUUGCACAAUGGGGGAAACCCUGAUGCAGCGACGCCGCGUGAGUGAAGAAGUAUUUCGUUAUGUAAAGUUCUAUCAGCAGGGAAGAAAAUGACGGUACCUGACUAAGAAGCCCCGGCUAACUACGUGCCAGCAGCCGCGGUAAUACGUAGGGGGCAAGCGUUAUCCGGAUUUACUGGGUGUAAAGGGGGCGUAGACGGCAGUGCAAGUCUGGAGUGAAAGGCGGGGGCUCAACCCCCGGACUGCUGUUGAAACUGUACGGCUGGAGUGCAGGAGAGGUAUGUGGAAUUCGUGGUGUAGCGGUGAAAUGCGUAGAUAUCAGGAGGAACACCGGUGGCGAAGGCGGCUUGCUGGCUUGUAACUGACGUUGAGGCUCGAAAGCGUGGGGAGCAAACAGGAUUAGAUACCCCAGUAGUC